GUUUGCACAGAGGAAUGAUGGGUUGGGUGGUGCCAUACUGAAAUGGACUUUCCAGUACAUGAAUCUAGUAGAUAUUCAGCCCAAUUCCUGCUUGAUUACCCUCUAAAAAGUCCUUAAAUGGCACAUUUUGAGGAAAAUAACGCCGGUUGUAACUGUUAUGAUGGCACUAGCGGUUUCAGCGUUUUAUUGCAAGCGAUAAGACAACGGUCCGGUCCGGUCCAAGUUCAAACAGGACCGGACCCGGUUUUCCUGCGCCUCCUGGACCUCCUUUUCCCCCUCCUCCUUUUAUUAUUAUUUAUUUGGUUUUCGUGAUUUCGGGAAUUUUAAACCCCAGCCUUCAGCUAGGGUUCGAUUUCCCCGAGCAAAGCAUCCAAGAAGCCCUUGAUCCCGUAUUUCGACCGCUCAAAGAUCCUUCUUUGUCUCGCCAAAAGAAGAAGGCUCGAUCCUUUCCAAGAUGACUGAGUACUGGGUGAGUCAGGGAAACAAAUGGUGCGACUUCUGCAAGAUCUAUAUAUCCAACAAUCCCUUGACCAUCAGAACCCAUGAACUUGGUCAACGCCACAAGGACAAUGUUGCUAAGAGGCUGGCUUCUAUGAGAAAGGAAAAUGCUGCCAGGGAGAAGGAACAGAAAGAAGCUGCCCGAGCGCUUGAGCAAAUAGAAGCUAAAGCUAAACGCAGUUAUCAGAAGGAUUUAGCAACUUUCAAGGAAGCUGCGAAAUCCAGUAGCCAUGCAUUAGAGUCCAAUGAUGCCACAUGUUCAGCGGCAAAUAGAGAUGAGUGGGAGUAUGAUGCUGCUUCAGGAUAUUACUACAGCCAGGCUAAUGGGUUUCACUAUGAUCCGAACUCAGGUUUAUAUUAUUCUAGUAAUUUAGGCAAGUGGGUUCCACAGGAAGAGGCAUUUAAAUCUUCUCAAGUUUCAAGACCUGAUAUCGGCCAUUUAUCAGAAUCUAAAAAUGACAAACUUAUUUCAAAGACAUCACAGACUAAAUCUGUUGCUGAAGAUGGUGCUGCUUCCAAAUAUAAAGGUGGCCCAGCUCCAGGACUGGUCAUGUCAACAUCUCUAAAUCCUAUGCGAACCGUUAAAGGUGCUCCAUCAUCAAUUGCUGUUAAUAAGAGAAAACGAGAGGACGGGAAAACAAAGGUGAUGACCAAAGAGGAAGAAGCUGCUCUUAAAGCAAGGGAGGCUGCAAGAAAGAGAGUGGAGCAGAGGGAGGCACCAUUAAUGGGCCUCUAUAGGUCAUACUGAUUUGCUGGAGCAGGAAAAAACCUGUUAAUGCUUAUUUGAGCGAAUUGAAGGUACUGUGAACCAUGGUUGGCCAACCACACCAUAUAACACCACUAUGACAAAGGAUAUGGAUCACCAUUUGCCUUGGUGCAGCCAAUUAGUGCCGGUACAGCAUAUUUUGACAUCCAUUUUUGUUUAUCUUGUCUUUUAUUUUUUCAAUGUUAUUGUUUUGCCAAGUAUAUUGGAUUAUUGACUUAGAUGCCAUGGUCACGGAUGAAUAGGCUGUCAAUGGGCAUUCUUCAUCUACCUUGUUGUCGGCACAAGGUAAUCACCAUGCACGAAUGAAGCAUACAAUAAUUUGAUGCAUCCGUACGGUAGAUUGCUUUUUAUGGAUG